rnacentral:rRNA from 1 species
UACCAGCACCCCGAGUGGUCGGGACGUUUAUUGGGCCUAAAGCAUCCGUAGCCGGUUCUACAAGUCUUCCGUUAAAUCCGGCUGCUUAACAGAUGGGCUGCGGAAGAUACUAUGGAGCUAGGAGGCGGGAGAGGCAAGCGGUACUCGAUGGGUAGGGGUAAAAUCCGUUGAUCCAUUGAAGACCACCAGUGGCGAAGGCGGCUUGCCAGAACGCGCUCGACGGUGAGGGAUGAAAGCUGGGGGAGCAACCGG